rnacentral:lncRNA from 1 species
UUGUUCUUGUUUGCACUCUUCUUCACAUCACCAACCAACAUAUAAAGCCGUGUUUGGGAUUAUUUGUCACAUUCCAUACACCUCUCCACCAGGUCCAAUCUUGCAAGUUACCCCUAUUCCACAUAUAACCACUUUUGAUUAUGUAUUUUUCUCUUGGUUGCAGCCAAUAAUUCUGAAUAUACCCAUUUAAGAACUUUAUCUUUCAUGGAGCAGAUUUUCUUUCAGUACCAACUACAAUCUUUUGGUGUUUCGAAAUCUCUCCAAUACUCCUCUUUUGGUAUACAUGAUCCACCCACUUAACCCAAAGGUUGUCAGCUUUUAUAGCUAAGUUUCAUACAUAUUUUGCAAUAGUUGCUUCAUUCCACACUAUGCAAUCAGUAAUUCCUAUAUCACCCUUUUUUGUCCCUUCAUACUAGAUUCAUUGGUAUCAAAGGGACUCUGUUAGUAUGUAUCCGAUCGAUCCAUAAAAUUUUUUUUGUAAAUUGAUACUAUAUUCUUUAGGACAUCCUUUGCUAGAAAGAAAAUAGUAGAUCAAUAGACAUGAAGGUGCAUCAAAACUGAGUUUAUCAGUUGAUUUUUCCCUGUGUAAGAUAGAUUUCUAAUUUCUCAGGUGUAAAUCCUAUUGACCAGUUAGUCUACUAACAUCUCACAGUCCAUGGCUGAUAGUCUCUUGAAAGAGAUAGGAAUUCUAAGUUGUAGCCAGUCAUGUCACAUACAUCCUAUAGUACUUGCGCAUUCAUAUUGGUGAAAAAAAUACUUGACCAUUGUUAUAUGCAAUUUCUUUUGGUACUCGAAAAUGAAAUUGAGCAAUGAAAUCAAAGUUUACAAACAAACAAAAUUUAGAAGCAACUAAGAGAUGGAGAAAUCAAUUACAAAUCAAAAACUUUUUACAUCUCUAUGAUUCCAUUCAAUAUUCAUGGCAUGAGUUGUUCGAAUCCAAAGAUAGUCCUCAUUCCAUAUGUAUGUCAAAAAAGAAAAUAAGUGCAACAUAGUAAGGACAAAAAUUAUCUCAAGGACUUAAGAGGUCGGUAGAUACAAAUCUAUUUACCACCUACACAUUUAAAAAUGGGACUAGUCGAUUUAUUUGAAGCUUAGAGGAGAGUGAAGUAUUCGUAUGUAAAGAUUUACGGAAGGGUUUUCAUGGUGUCUGAUGGGUUUCUCUCAAAAGAAGUAGCAAAAGGUUUUCUCAAAAGGGUAUCCACAGUGGUUUUUAUCUAGUGUAAUGAACUUUCAGUGGGAAGAUUGUUGAAGAACUCAUCUAUGGAAACACUAAUAGAUUGAAACUCAGAGAAAGACACUGAAGAAGAAGUUGAGAAUUAUUUAUUCUCAAUGUUGA